UAUUAAUAUUUUUAUUUUAUAGAUAGAGCCCUGAGGCACAGAGAGAUCACUCAGCUAUUAAGUGGUACUAUCAGGAUUCAAUUCAGAGCAGCCAGCUCCAGAGCCCACACUGUUAAAAACGAGGAUCCUGGAGUCAACAGCCUGGCUUCACAUUCUGGCUUCAUCUACAACACUGCGGUUAGUUCCUGGCCCCCCUGGAAAGAGCAGCAAUAUGUUCCCUGUAUUAUUUUCUGACCAUCACAGCUGAGGCAGAAGUGGCUGUAAAUGACACAUCUCCCUAGUCAAGAGUUGCAUGGACUUUCAACAUUUAAGGUGUCUCUGCUGACACCAUUUGUUGUUGUUGUUCUAGAAAAGGAAUAAAAUUGAAUUCAGU
rnacentral:lncRNA from 1 species